UGUUUGUAUAGUGUGUGUAUAUAAUGCAGUGUGUUUGUGUAGUGUGCAUUAUAUAAACACACUACGCAAAUACACUGCAUUAUAUACACACACUAUGCAAAC
rnacentral:miRNA from 1 species